rnacentral:sRNA from 1 species
GCUGGGUGUGGUGGUGCACACCUGUAAUCCCAGCAGCUCAGGAAUCUGAGGCAAGAGGAUCAAGAAUUCAAAGCCAGAGUCAGCAAAAAGCAAGGAACUAAACAACUCAGUGAGACUUUGUCUCUA